rnacentral:lncRNA from 1 species
GAAACUGAGGACUUAUUCCAGGAUAAAUAGGAGACUGAAGACCCCAGUGUCGAACAGCAGCUUAUUAUGGCCUCUCAGGAAUAGAGGUAUUGUCUGCAACUAUACUGUCACCUACAACCAUCUGGUCUGGAGGCUGUGAUACAGCACACAACAGCAAAUCUCCGUUCUUGGUAUGGGAGGUUCACUUCUGUUGUGAAAGGCAGCUCUAGUCAGUGUUGGAAUGAAAGCCAAAGCCUUCAGAAGCUGAGAGGUGCUGGAAAGGGACUGCACUGUUGUUUUCUCCACCCUCCCCCCCCCGCCCCCAAGAAAAACAGAGGAGGAUAUAAAACAAAAAGAGAGAUCUGCAUCCAGACAUCAUCGCACACUGCUACCUGUGGAAGAACUGCUGUUCUGAAUUGUUCUCAUUGACCUCUUUUGAGUCAGAAGGGACCCUUAGGGGUCAUCUGGUCCAACUCCCCUGCAAUGAACAAGGGCACGUACAGCUCAGUCAGGGUGCUCAGAGUCCCAUCCAGUCU